rnacentral:rRNA from 1 species
GUUUGAUCCUGGCUCAGAUUGAACGCUGGCGGCAGGCCUAACACAUGCAAGUCGAGCGGUAACAGAUCCAGCUUGCUGGAUGCUGACGAGCGGCGGACGGGUGAGUAACGCGUGGGAAUCUGCCUGGUAGUGGGGGACAACAGUCGGAAACGACUGCUAAUACCGCAUACGCCCUUCGGGGGAAAGUGGGGGAUCUUCGGACCUCACGCUAUCAGAUGAGCCCGCGUCGGAUUAGCUGGUUGGUGGGGUAAAGGCCUACCAAGGCGAUGAUCCGUAGCUGGUCUGAGAGGAUGAUCAGCCACACUGGGACUGAGACACGGCCCAGACUCCUACGGGAGGCAGCAGUGGGGAAUAUUGGACAAUGGGGGCAACCCUGAUCCAGCCAUACCGCGUGUGUGAAGAAGGCCUUCGGGUUGUAAAGCACUUUCAGCAGUGAGGAAAGGUGUGUGGUUAAUACCCGCAUACUGUGACGUUAACUGCAGAAGAAGGACCGGCUAACUCCGUGCCAGCAGCCGCGGUAAUACGGAGGGUCCGAGCGUUAAUCGGAAUUACUGGGCGUAAAGCGCGCGUAGGUGGUUCAGUCAGUCAGAUGUGAAAGCCCCGGGCUUAACCUGGGAAUUGCACCUGAUACUGCUGAGCUAGAGUACGGUAGAGGGCAGUGGAAUUUCCGGUGUAGCGGUGAAAUGCGUAGAGAUCGGAAGGAACACCAGUGGCGAAGGCGACUGCCUGGACCGAUACUGACACUGAGGUGCGAAAGCGUGGGUAGCAAACAGGAUUAGAUACCCUGGUAGUCCACGCCG